rnacentral:rRNA from 1 species
GCUCGAGAGUUUGAUCCUGGCUCAGGACGAACGCUGGCGGCGUGCUUAACACAUGCAAGUCGAACGAUGAACCACUUCGGUGGGGAUUAGUGGCGAACGGGUGAGUAACACGUGGGCAAUCUGCCCUGCACUCUGGGACAAGCCCUGGAAACGGGGUCUAAUACCGGAUACUGACCCGCCUGGGCAUCCAGGCGGUUCGAAAGCUCCGGCGGUGCAGGAUGAGCCCGCGGCCUAUCAGCUUGUUGGUGAGGUAACGGCUCACCAAGGCGACGACGGGUAGCCGGCCUGAGAGGGCGACCGGCCACACUGGGACUGAGACACGGCCCAGACUCCUACGGGAGGCAGCAGUGGGGAAUAUUGCACAAUGGGCGCAAGCCUGAUGCAGCGACGCCGCGUGAGGGAUGACGGCCUUCGGGUUGUAAACCUCUUUCAGCAGGGAAGAAGCGCAAGUGACGGUACCUGCAGAAGAAGCGCCGGCUAACUACGUGCCAGCAGCCGCGGUAAUACGUAGGGCGCGAGCGUUGUCCGGAAUUAUUGGGCGUAAAGAGCUCGUAGGCGGCUUGUCGCGUCGGUUGUGAAAGCCCGGGGCUUAACCCCGGGUCUGCAGUCGAUACGGGCAGGCUAGAGUUCGGUAGGGGAGAUCGGAAUUCCUGGUGUAGCGGUGAAAUGCGCAGAUAUCAGGAGGAACACCGGUGGCGAAGGCGGAUCUCUGGGCCGAUACUGACGCUGAGGAGCGAAAGCGUGGGGAGCGAACAGGAUUAGAUACCCUGGUAGUCCACGCCGUAAACGGUGGGCACUAGGUGUGGGCGACAUUCCACGUCGUCCGUGCCGCAGCUAACGCAUUAA